CUUCACCGACCCCAACCACAACGGCCGGCCCGUUGGCCGAUCCUGACCGUAGGUGGCCAGCAACGCCUGCGCCUC
rnacentral:antisense_RNA from 1 species